rnacentral:rRNA from 1 species
CAGAGGGGGCAAGCGUUGUUCGGAAUUACUGGGCGUAAAGGGCGCGUAGGCGGCCUGUUAAGUCGAACGUGAAAUCCCCAGGCUCAACCUGGGAACUGCGUCCGAAACUGGCAGGCUUGAAUCCGGGAGAGGGAUGUGGAAUUCCAGGUGUAGCGGUGAAAUGCGUAGAUAUCUGGAGGAACAUCGGUGGCGAAGGCGACAUCCUGGACCGGUAUUGACGCUGAGGCGCGAAAGCCAGGGGAGCAAACGGGAUUAGAUACCCCGGUAGUCCUGGCCCUAAACGAUGAAUGCUUGGUGUGGCGGGUAUCGAUCCCUGCCGUGCCGAAGCUAACGCAUUAAGCAUUCCGCCUGGGGAGUACGGUCGCAAGGCUG